rnacentral:rRNA from 1 species
UACGGGGGGAGCAAGCGUUGUUCGGAUUUACUGGGCGUAAAGGGCGCGUAGGCGGUCAGCACAAGUCAGUUGUGAAAUCUCCGGGCUUAACUCGGAAAGGUCAACUGAUACUGUGCGACUAGAGUGCGGAAGGGGCAACUGGAAUUCUCGGUGUAGCGGUGAAAUGCGUAGAUAUCGAGAGGAACACCUGCGGCGAAGGCGGGUUGCUGGGCCGACACUGACGCUGAUGCGCGAAAAGCCAGGGGGAGCGAACGGGG